rnacentral:lncRNA from 1 species
CCAACAUUAGUCAACUGCAGUUAGACCUUCAAACUCACUGCAGUGAAACCCCCAAUAACCAUCAUCUUUCACACGCGCGCACAAAUGUUUCUAUUGAACACUAGGAAACACUCGUCAUCUGAAAAUGAAGACGAGCAGAGAAGCCCCAAAAAAUUUCCUGUCUCCCUUUGGUAGCAAAUCUGUUGUGCUCCAAAUUAAUUAUGAGAACUGUACUUACUGAAAUUUGCAAAAAAAAGAAAAGAAAAAAAAAAAAAAAUUCAUUAUGAACUUCAAAAGAGAACGUAACAGAGAAAAACUAAAAAGAAAGAGAAGGUGAACGAAAUGAUCAAUCAUAU